AGUGACUGGGGUUCAUAACAGAACAUGCUCCCUUUCGUGUGGUAAUUGAAAAAAGACAAGACUCGGAUAUUGUGAUAAUCCUUCUCCUACAAAUGGUGGAGAUCCGUGUACUGGUGAUUCGUCCCAGAUUUCAUUCUGUAGCUAUGCAAAAUGUGAUGUAGAAGCAAUUGUUUGAGAGAAUGGCCAUGGAAUGGUUUGGGUUUAUGAAAAGGAGAUAUUCCAGAAAGAAUGGAAGAUAUUCUAUGAAACAUUAUCUAUUGUUUGUGGUUGUGAUGGUUGUAGGUUACAACUUGUUGACAAUUGAAGAUCUAAACGAUACAUCAAAAAUUAAUUACAACUAUCCGAAAAUAUUUCCCGAGAGAUAUGUCAGUAAACGUGAGAUUAAAAGAAUCCUAUUCUGGACCAAAGAUUAUGGCUCAAUCACCUGGCAAACCUUUGGCCAUUAUUCUAUACGGGAUGCAUUUAAAGGAUGUGCUGUGUCCAAAUGUAUUGUAACUGCUGAUAAGGCUCUUGUGAGUGAAAGUGAUGCUUUACUUUUUCAUCCUCCAGAUUUUAUAACCACUUUCUCUCUGCCAUCAGUUAGAUUCCCUGAACAGAUUUAUAUCUAUGCAAGCAUGGAGCCACCCCCAAAUCAUUAUCUUAUGAAUCUGAGAAAAUAUUCUAAUUUUUUCAAUUGGACACUGGGCUAUCGAUCUGAUAUGGAUAUAUUACAUACAUAUGGCCAUUUAAAAAAAUUACCUUCUGUCAAUAAAUCUGUUGAACAAAUAGACUUUUCCAAACAUAAAACUCACAAAGUAGUUUGGGCUGUGGGGAAUUGUUAUCCUUAUUCCCCUCGUCAAUUAACUGCACAAGAACUGUCAAAAUACAUAGAUGUGGAUGUAAUUGGACAUUGUGGAAAAACAUAUCCUAAAUGCAGCGGCGUAAUUUGUCCUGAGGUUUUAGGAAAAUACAAAUUUUAUCUUUCCUUCGAGAAUUCCUUGUGUAAAGAUUAUGUAACUGAAAAAUUUUGGAAUGCUUUGGUUCGAGAACAAAUACCAAUCGUCCGAGGAGGGGCAGAUUACACAAAGAUAGCUCCACCAAACAGCUUUAUAAAUGUGUUAGAUUUCCCAAAUAUCAAAAAAUUAGCCGAAUAUAUACAUUAUCUGGAUAAAAAUCAUACAGCCUACAACGAAUACUUUAAAUGGAGGUCCCAUUUUGAAAUUGGGUACACAGAUUGGAGAUGUGAAUUAUGUAAAGCUUUACACGACACUAGUCGUCCUGCUCAAAUGUAUACGGAUCUAUACCGAUGGAUGAGUGAGGAAAACUGUCCAGUAUGGAGUAUUUGGUUUGAAGCAUCUUGGUCAGGAGAGGUACAAACCCCACCAGUUCCAGAGUUACCCACCCCUCUUUACGAAAACCUUGUGUACGCGAUAGAGAUUACGGUUUAUAUUUUUCCAAUUGGUGUGAAGUAAUAGGGUAAUGACAAGAUGAAACCUAUCGAUAUUCCGAAAACCUCGAGAUAGCGUUCAGCAAUCAAAUUAGCAGGUACGUCAAUGGUUUCUUCAUCAACAUGGGUAUAAAAUGGUUUUAAAUCGGAUACAUAUACCGGUGAUAAUAUAGAGAAAAAUCAAGAAUUGCUUCCGCCGGCCCUGCAGUUAUCACACAAACGAUAUCUAGUGCAAAAUGUGUUAUUGGGUGAUACAUAUCUUUUAUCUUUUCGUCGUUUACCGUGAAACAAAAUAGUGUAGCUUUACUAUUGUGCUAAUAUUUUUGGAUCUAUAUACGAUUGUUUUUAUAAAAAUAUCUAUGCAACUGUGUGUUUCUCUGGUGGCUUUGUUUGUAUGCGUUUCCGUCCUGCUCCACUUACUAUUAGUAAUAUAAUAAUUUGAAAACUCCGUUUCACGCUCUAGUGGUGCCCUAAAAUUAUGUGUAACACGCACGAAUUAAAAAUAUAAAUGUUGAGUAUUAUGUGUGGUGGAGAUUGUUUGAACAAUGUAAACCGUUCAAUUUGCCAAGUUUAAAAUUGGGUCGCAUAAUUUAGCUACAGAAAAUAGUAGAUAGAAUACCUACUCUAUAAAGGUGUAACUUUCUCCGACCGCUUUUCAUACAUUAGCUGAAUUUGUCUAAAGAGCCUUUUGAAUACACGAACAAUAUUUGGUAUAAUACUAUAGGGUUAUUUUAGUUCUAAGAAAGGUGUUCUGUUUAAUAUAGAAAUCUUUACCUACAUGAUGUGUGACGAAAACUAGGGUAAUGAAGUAGCUUGCAUUACUCUGCUACUAUCUUAGACUAACUCACAGACAUUUACAUUUUCUAUAUAGGAAAGAGCGGGUUUGAUUUACCCUCAGACAAUCAUUCGGAGCUCAAGGGGAACAUAUCCAUAUCCUCCUCGGCUUAGAGGCUAGGGUGAACACAUCAUCAUAGCGCGAUCCUUAUGUAGAACUAUCAAGAAGUGUGUGGCUCUUGCCGCGUUUAAGCCGUUAGGAUUUAUAUCCUAUGUUUAACAUUUAGAACAAUUGUGACAUUUAACUGAUUGGAUUAUAUAUCUUAAGCUUGAUAUUUAGAGCAAUGGUAUAUGAAUAUGUAAGACCAAACAGCUCUUUAUUCGUAGUUCUUAAUUCUUAAUUCGUAAUCCUUAAUUCUUAGUUCUUCAUUUGUUGUCGUAUUCCGACAUUUGUACUCUAAAAUUAACAUUUUUGUAUCUUAAAAUCUAUAUGUGUUUUACGCACGCACGCACACACACACGCACGUAGAAAUUGACACAAAUGGGUCGCACCUCAUAUAAUAAUGUAAUAUGAAUGUAUAUAAACUGAUUUAUAUUCAAUCGUUUCUGUUUUACUCUAAUUUCUAAUCAGUUAUGUUC